ensembl:lncRNA
CAAAUGUGCACCUGUAUCAGCAUCACCCAGAGUAGGGUCAGAGUCUGGACUCCUGGGCCCCACCCAGAGUCGCUGUCAGGGGCCUGGGCUUUGCAUUUCCACAGGUUCCAGGUGCUGCUGCUGGAGCAGAGGCCACGCUCUGAGCACCUUGCUCUAGAAGAAGAGGUGCAGAAAAGCCCCUGGUGAAGAGCACUUCCUUCAGCAGCAGGCAGCACAGCGAUGGCCAAGUGUCCCUCUGGGGGAACAGACGUCUGCCCGUCCACGCCACUCAGCUGGGGUGAGGCCGCAGCAGCCUCCACCUUGCUCCACACAUGGCCAGCUUCUGGCCUUCCCUCACCACGCCGUGGGACUUCACGUGCAGAUCGCUUCCUGGCCUUCUCCCCUCGCGGUCCUGGGUUCUCUCCUCCUGGCCUUUGAGGCUGGAAUGUCCAGGCUCAGACUGGGGCCUUUGUCUCUGCUGACACCUCACUGCUGUCGUGACCUUGUCAUCCCUGUGCCGCUGACUGCAGGACGCGCAGCCGAGUCUCCUCGAACCUGCCCAGGUGGCCCCCAAGCAGGAUGCGUCCAACACACCUUGCUUCCCUCUGCCCGGCCUCAAGCCCCACUCCAGCCCCUGCUUUCUCAGUAAGGACGUCCCCAUUCCGUGGCUGCUCUGGCCAAAGACAGGAGAGUCACCCUUCCUCUUCUCUUCGGCUGGUACCUCCCAAGAUCCAGCCUGUGCUCCCAGCACUCCCACCUCGCACUUCCCCAUCCCCAGCUCUUCCCCCACCCUGCCCAAAGCCCUCCUGACCCUAUUCUUGUCUCAGUCUCUCUGCACACAGCAGCCAGAGAAUAAACAAACUAGCCCAACCCUUGGUAGGGCUGGUGUUCACCUUUGGAGUUAAAUUGCAAGUCCUCACCUGGCACCACAGUCACUCAGUGGGUGUCCCCUCCCUCUGAGUGCUCUCGCCCCACUGACCUGGGCAUUGUGGGGCCAUGCUCGCUCCCGCCUCGGGCCUCGGCACCUGUCCCCACCUGGCAUGCUGGCUUUGCUCCAAUGCCAACCCUUCGAAGAGGCCUUCCCUGAUCACCCUGUUGUAAACAGCACUGCCUGUCUCUCUGUUCCCUGAGUGUUCCUCAGGGCACUGUCACUGCCAGAUGCUGGUAUUUUUGUCUACUAUGGCCCCCACCCUGGCUGGUACACUCAGGAGGACAGGGGCUGCCUCCCCCAUGCCUACAAAGGCACCUGACACAGAGCCAGCUUUCUAUAUUGCGUGAAAGGUUCCGUCCAAGGACGCUGUAGAUGUAGGUGGACACAGGCAAAAACGAAGCAGGACAGCGGAGCUGUCCAAAGACCAGCAGUGUCUUCAGGCGAAGCUGCAGCAUCGAGCUCUGGUGCUUUUGAGGUUUCCACAGCAGAAACCUGACGGGCUCCUGGCACCUGGGAGAAAAGCCACUCCAGUGAGGAUUAUUGCCAGUGAAGGCUGCCCUGGCCCCAAACAAGGUUUCCUAGAAUUUAUGGCGGCAGGCACGUUGUUAAAGGAUGAUUCCCCAAAAGGGCCAGACGUGAUGUUCACAGGGAUGCAGGGUGAGCACGCGUCGAAGUGCUUCCCUAGCCCAGGCAGCUGUGAGGACCAGCUCAGAGGAGAAGUCCUGAAACUGACACUUACAGAUGAGGAAUUUUGACAUGAAUGUGCCAACGAACGCGAAACUGGAUUUUCAGGGGGCUGUGAUGGGCUGGAUUGUCUCCCUUAGAUUCAAAUGUUGAAGUCCCCCACACCCCAAUGUCUUAGAAUGCAACUGUAUUUGGAGGUAGACUUUAAAGAGAUGGUUGAAUUAAAAUGAGGCCCCAAAUUCAAUAUGACUGGUAUGUCUAUAAAAAGAGAAAGUCUGGACAUCUGGAGAUCAUCAGGGAGGCGUGACUGCACAGGGGAAAGACCCUGUGAGGCACAGCAAGAAGGCACCGUCUGCUCGCAGGAAACACCAACCCGUGACACCCUGACCUUAGACUUCCACCCCCCAGAACUGUGAGAAGUAGACCUCCUUGCACUGUAAAUCACUCAUUUUGUUACUGCAGUCCCAGAAAACUAACACAGACUCUUGCUGGGCAGAAUGCAUUUGCUUCUCUGCAGACAAGAUUAAUUUUGCACUAUUGCUACCAAAAUAGUUCUAUGGGACUGGGCGCCGUGGCUCACACCUGUAAUCCCAACACUUAGGGAGGCCGAGGCAGGUGGAGCACCUGAGGUCAGGAGUUCAAGACCAGCCUGGCCGACAUGGUUAAACCCCGUGUCUACUAAAAAUACCAAAAAAAAAAAA